AGAGUUUGAUCAUGGCUCAGAACGUACGCUGGCGGCACGCCUAACACAUGCAAGUCGAACGAAGUAGCAAUACUUAGUGGCAGACGGGUGAGUAACAUGUGGGUAUCUACCCUUUGGCCAGGAAUAACACGAGGAAACUUGUGCUAAUACCUGAUAAGUCUUUACGGAGAAAGCUUUAUGCACCAUUGGAUGAGCCUGCACUUGAUUAGUUAGUUGGUGGGGUAAAGGCCUACCAAGACUUUGAUCAAUAGCUGAUUUGAGAGGAUGAUCAGCCACAUUGGGACUGAGACACGGCCCAAACUCCUACGGGAGGCAGCAGUGGGGAAUCUUGCACAAUGGAGGAAACUCUGAUGCAGCGAUGCCGCGUGAGUGAAGAAGGCCUUUGGGUUGUAAAGCUCUUUCGUCGGGGAAGAAAAUGACUGUACCCGAAUAAGAAGGUCCGGCUAACUUCGUGCCAGCAGCCGCGGUAAUACGAAGGGACCUAGCGUAGUUCGGAAUUACUGGGCUUAAAGAGUUCGUAGGUGGUUGAAAAAGUUGGUGGUGAAAUCCCAGAGCUUAACUCUGGAACUGCCAUCAAAACUUUUCAGCUAGAGUUUGAUAGAGGAAAGCAGAAUUUCUAGUGUAGAGGUGAAAUUCGUAGAUAUUAGAAAGAAUACCAAUUGCGAAGGCAGCUUUCUGGAUCAUUACUGACACUGAGGAACGAAAGCAUGGGUAGCGAAGAGGAUUAGAUACCCUCGUAGUCCAUGCCGUAAACGAUGUGUGUUAGACGUUGGAAAUUUAUUUUCAGUGUCGCAGCGAAAGCGAUAAACACACCGCCUGGGGAGUACGACCGCAA
rnacentral:rRNA from 1 species